AUGUAGGACAGUCAUCCACCUCUCUGCUCACCAGCGUGUGGAUGCAGUGAACUGAACCUUUACCAAAUAUUCAGGUGUGAUCAUGGAAAAGGGGGCGCAUGCUUCUUGUAUGCACUUGUGUAGAUAAAAUGUCACAAAAGCAGCUCUUCCAAAGAUCUUCUGGAAAUCUUUAAUGAGCUUCAGAUUGUGAAAAGCAGGGGGAUGCUGCCACCUGUUGGUGUGCAUUUUCAUUUUCACAGACUCUUAUCCUAAAUUCUACUUAUCUUUCUCCAUUAGGCUUUUGAAACAAAAAGAUUAGCUGUGAGUGAAACAUCAGCAGGAUGACUCAAACACUGUGGAAAGCAAGGUCCCUUAAGCAACUGCAGGUGACCAGCUUCUUCUUGCCUGGGGAUCAGACAAAGUCCUGGAUAAGUCAAUGAAUGGCUACUAAUCAUGGUGGCUGAAUACUACUUCCAAGAGCAUAAGCCAAAGGUUGCCAACCAUCUUGGACCAGUGAGCACAUUUAAAAUUUUGAAAGAGUUCUGUGGGCUCCAGUCACAAAAUAGCUGCUAUGGGGAGAGGGUGUGCAGCAUAACAUCACAUGGCUGCCGUGGAGAGUGUGGCACAACACACAAUUUAGAGAGACAGGCACAGUGGACGACUUUGCUUUACCAUGCAACCUCAGCUGUAUCCUGCUGGCCCUGGUUUUAACAUAUACACACUAUGCAGAGAUGUUGCUGUCAAUGUGUCUAUUUUAUUGUUAUGCCGUCUGUUAUGCUUUCUAUUAUGUUUUUAAUGUUUUACACUGCCCUGGGAACUUUGAUAAAGGGCGUAUAUAAAUUGAAUUAACUUCAACAACACCAACACCAUUUAAUAAUAAUAAUAAUAAUAAAUUUAUUAUUUAUACCCCGCCCAUCUGGCUGAGUUUCCCCAGCCACUCUGGGCGGUUCCCAAUCAAGUGUUAAAAACAGUACAGCGUUAAAUAUUAAAAACUUCCCUGAACAGGGCUGCCUUCAGAUGUCUUUUAAAGAUAGGAUAGCUGCUUAUUUCCUUCACAUCUGAAGGGAGGGUGUUCCACAGGGUGGGCGCCACUACCGAGAAGGCCCUCUGUCUGGUUCCCUGUAACCUCACUUCUCGCAAUGAGGGAACCGCCAGAAGGCCCUCGGCGCUGGAUCUCAGUGUCCGGGCUGAACGAUGGGGGUGGAAACGCUCCUUAAAACAAAUUACAAUCUCAAGAAUAAAGUGGGUGCUUAGAUAUUAUUUUCCCAAAAAUAAUAAGCUAGCUAAUAUUUUACCACAUCACAAUUUUGGCCUUAAAAAACUGUUGGCAUGCUGAGCAGCAGAGGGCCCUCAUUCUUCCCUAGAGCUAUCUAUGACAUGGACUCCAUGCAAUAUUCAUUUCAGCUCAAGAUUGGCAUGCAAUUGUUGUAAACAUAACUUUUUUAAAGAAUAAGAGGCUACCAAAUGUACAUAGUAAAACUUAUAUUGGCAAUAAACACAAGAAUGCAUGUCAGGAGAUAGAAAGGCAGCUCUGGUGACCAUGAGAUGUUUACAUGAGAUGUUAACUCUUUCUUGUAACCCCCAAUCUGUAAGGGAUGCUGGUGUAGCAAUAAAACUGCUAGCACAUUUGCAAAGUUAAGCAGGGUCUAGUUUGGUUUCAAAAUGGAUGGGGGACUGAGCAUUGAGGAGGUUGGACUAGAUGAUACCUGGUUCUCUUCCAACUCUAUGAUUUUAUGAUUAACCUUUUAAUAACGUUUCAGAAAAAUGUAAUUGGUCAGUGUAAAGUUUAGCUAUUCUGCAAUUACAGAAUUUGCAUCCAUCCAUCCAGUCUAUGGAACUGAGAGGAUUUUGUAUUUUUGUGCUGAUGCAAACAUUUGCACAAACUAUAUUGGCUACCAUUCUAUUUCUUACUUACAAGCAUGGUAUAAAUCAAGGAGCAUUCCGGGGGGUAGACUAGAUGAUUCUUGGGCACCUUCCAAUUCUACAAUUCUUUGAUUCUAUAAAUAGAGGAUUAGACUGGGGAAGAAAGCAAUAUGACAUGAUUAUUCUUAAAACCCUCUUUUCAAAAGGUAAAAGAGAGUAUUUUAUUCCCACAGAUUCCGAAAGCACAAUAAAGGAUCAAAAAGAGGAAAACUGUUAUGGAACUUCAGAAGAACCCUGAGACAUGUGAGUUGUGCAAGUCCCACUUUAUAAUAUUUAUGCGACCUCCUGUAUGCAUUCUGUAUGUAUUUUUUUUUUUUUUUUUAAGCAAUUUAUUGGGUUUUACAAUAAAAAUAAACAUCAUGAACAAUAUAACAUUUGUCUUAACAUAGUUUCACAUUUUCUUUGGACUUCCUCACAUCUCCCGCUCCCACUUUCAUCGUUAUAACAUUUUAUCAGCAAUUUAUCAUCUUAUUUAGAUUCUUAUAUCCCUUCUAUAUUUCAUAAUCUUGUAAUUCUCGAAAGGAGUUAAAUUUUCACAAUCUUAUUUGUUUUCUUAAAAAAGUUCUAGAUUAAGUGGUGCUCAGUUGUUUUAGUCUAGCAUCUUAUUUAACAUUCACUCAAAUUACAAUGUUUUUGUAGAUAAUUCUUAAAUUUCUUCCAAUCCUCCUCUAUCCUCUCUUCUCCCAGGUCACGAAUUCUGCCGGUCAUUUCAGCCAGUUCCAUGUAGUCUAUCAGUUGCAUCUGCCAUUCUUCCAGUGUGGGUAGAUCUUGAGUUUUCCAGUAUUUUGCGAGAAGUAUCCUUGCUGCUGUUGUUGCAUACAUAAAAAUGUCUGGUCCCUCUUUGCCACCCCUUGGCCGACAAUACCCAAAAGGAAAGCCUCUGGUUUCUUAGUGAAGGUAUAUUUAAAUACCUUUUUCAAUUCAUUAUAAAUCAUUCCCAGAACGCCUUCACUUUAGGGCAAGUCCACCAGAGGUGGAAAACGUUCCUCACACUCUUUACAUUUCCAACACUUAUUAUCAGACAGGUGGUAAAUUUUUGCAAGUUUGACUGGGGUCAUAUACCAUCUAUAAAUCAUUUUCAUUACAUUCUCUUUCAGAGCGUUACAUGCGGUAAAUUUCAAUCCAUUACUCCACAACCUUUCCCAGUCCUCAAACAUAAUAUUAUACCCAAUGUCCUGUGCCCACCUUAUCAUAGCCGAUUUAACCGUUUCAUCUUGUGUAUUCCAUUUUAACAGCAAGUUAUACAUCCUUGAUAGUACCUUAAUCUUUGGUUCUAACAAUUCUGUUUCUAGUUUCGAUUUCUCCACCUGGAACCCUAAUUUCUUAUCAUUUUUAAAAACUUCUUUAAUCUGAGCGUAAUGUAACCAAUCUCGCACUUUGUCUUUCAUUUUCUCCAAACUCUGCAAUUUCCAAUUGUCUCCAUCCUUUUCUAGUAUUUCCCAAUAUUUUGGCCAUUUAGCCUCCAUAUUGGGUCUUUUUCGGGCCUUAGCUUCUAGUGGUGAAAGCCACCUGGGUGUUUUAUUUUCCAGCAAGUCUUUAUAUUUUGUCCAGACAUUAAACAGUGAUUUUCUGACAAUAUGGUUCUUAAAGGCCUUAUUUGCUUUAACCUUGUCAUACCAUAAAUAUGCAUGCCAUCCAAAAGCAUUAUUAAACCCUUCCAAAUCUAACACAUCAGUGUCUUCAAGGAGUAGCCAAUCUUUUAGCCAGCAGAACGCUGCGGCUUCAUAAUACAACUUUAAGUCUGGCAGGGCAAAGCCCUCUUUGUUUUGCAUCAGUUAAUAUCUUAAACUUAAUUCUGGGCUUUUUGCCCUGCCAGACAAACUUAGAAAUGUCUCUCUGCCACUUCUGAAAGCACUCCGUUUUGUCCAGAACCUGAAGUGUUUGAAAUAAAAACAACAUCCUUGGCAAUACAUUCAUCUUAAUAGCAGCAAUUCGGCCUAACAAAGAAAGUUUCAAUUUUGACCAACUAUCUAAGUCUCUCUUAAUUUCUGUCCAACAUUUUUCAUAAUUGUCCUUAAAUAGACUUAGAUUUUUUGCUGUUAUAUUUACCCCUAGGUAUUUUACUUUUUUAACCACAUUAAGUUCCGUCUCAUUCUGAAACCGUUCUGACUCUGUAUCUGUCAAAUUUUUCCCCAAAACCUUGGUUUUCUGUUUAUUUAAUUUAAAUCCAGCCACCCGACCAAAGUCAUUAAUCAGUUGUAAUACUCUUUUCGUACUCUGGCUCUGGCUUCUGCAGGGUCAAAACCAGGUCAUCUGAAAGUAAUUUAUGUUGACCACUUCCUUCCCCACUAUAGUAAUAGCACUUCGAACCAAAUAACAAGGAAUGGGCAGUCGUGUCCCAUGAACUUCUACCAAUAUAACUAUCAAUUGCUUUCUGUUCUGAUAUAUCCCUCAACCAUUCAAACCGUCCCUCCAUCUUGUUCCUCAUAAUUUCGUAUUGUGGCCUCUCAUUUUAUAUCUGGUUCAAAUGUAAUGUUUUUUAAGAUGUACGCCUGGUCUUUUUAUUUAAACUUUAAAUCUACUGCUGUCUGAAUUUUAACAUUAAAAGGAGAUACGUGUUCUUAAGUUGUGUUUUCAGCCAUUAUGUGAUGUACCGGCCCAAUUUCAUUGUGACCUCAUGUGUCAUUAUGUCUUUGGAGGUCACCCAUCUGGCCCUGGAUGAGCAUGUUCUGGAUUGUUCAACUAGUGUUAUUUGGUCAGUUGUCCAUUUUGUGAUAGAUAGUCCAUUUUGCUGUUUUAGCAUUCUGUAUGUAAUCCAGUAUUGCAUGUUUGGCUAGUAGCAGUUCUCCUGGGGCUCAGUAUCUCACAAAACUGCUGGUGAUGCCAAGGACUAUGUGUGGGAUCUUCUGUAUGCAGAGCCCUGUGUAAUGUCCAUGUAUAUGCAGAAAUGCAUCUGCCCGCCCCUCUUCUUUCCAGUGUGAUGGUGUUCACCAAAACACACAAGGAGCGUAAUCAAAUGUCCUGUCAGGUGCCUGUCUUUAUGCUAUGAUUGACCCUUUGGAAUACUGUAACAUACUCUACAUAGGGUUAAACUCAAAGAGCUGCCGCCAAGUUGCUGACUGGGGCUGAUUGUAGGGAGCAUACUAUUUCCUUGCUACAACAGCUCCACUGGCUUCCAGUCUGUUUCUGGGCACAAUUCAAAGUUUUGACCUAUAAAAUACUAUACAGCUUAGGUCCAAGAUAUCUGAAAGACCAUAUUCCCUCAUACGAACCUGUCUGGGUUUUGAGAUCUUCAGGGGAGGUCUUUCUCUUCAGUCCCACCACUUUCACAGGCAUGCUUGGUGGGGACACAGAACAGGGCCUUCUUGGUGGCUGCCCCUGACUUUGGAACUGCCCCCUUCCCCAAGAAGCUAGACUGGCUCCCUCCUUGUUGUCCUUUGGUUGGCAGGUGAAGACCUUCUUCUUCUACCAGGUUUUGGAAAUGGACUUUUAACAAAAGGGCUGGUGCUAUGCUGUUUUUAUUAUAAUUAUUUGUAUGUUUAAACAGAUUUUAUAUGUAUAUAGUUUUAAUUAUAUCAGUGUUUAGUUUUUUAAAUUAUUUUUUUCUAUAUUUUUAGCAUUAUUUUUUUAAAAAACUGUCAGCUGCCUUCAGUCUUGUCAGGAAAAAAGGCAGGGUAUAAGUAAAUAUAAUAAUAGUGGUAGUCCUAAUAUAGCCAGGAUUAUCUGCAUAGGGAAACUUCCAUGUGAGGAUUCUCAUAUGUGUAGGGAUUAUGUGUAGAAGAAAAAUCUGCACACCAUCAGACUGACUGCUAAGAAGCAUUGUGUGGGUGUCACUGCCAGCACUGCCAAUAACGUUGUGAGGUGCAUAUUUCUGUGUCACAACUGGUCAUGCUGUUAAAACUUGAGCACGUGGCUACAUAACACUGCAGUGUUAUCCGGGGCAGAGUGGUACCAAGAUGAUGCUAUCAGGCAUUGCAUUAGCCUCCAGGAAGGCCACUGGGGUGUUGUUUUCUGGAAAGACCACCAAUGGCCCCACUUUCCAUCUCAUUAACACAGUCUCCAGAAGCCAUGCAAGGUUAUUGCUGAGUCAUGUAGAAGCAAACACUUUUCAACAGGAGAUGAGCACUGGCAACUUCAUGGUAUUGCUUCAUGCCAUACUGACAGCGAGUAUCGUAGCUUGUUGGAUUAGACAAUUUGUUAGUCAUAUUCAGCAUAGUGUCAAAAUACAAACACGAUUAACUUACAGAUGAGGUAUUUAGUGGCAAUAUAGGUAGGGGUGUCUCCUCUUCACACCCUCCAACUUUCUGAAGCAAGUAAAGCUGAACUGUGCAAUUUAAUGUAUUUAUUUAUUGGGGACAUUUCUAAUCUGCUCUUCAGUGAAAUAUCUCAGAGUGGCAAAUGUAGAUUAAAAAUUAACAAUAACAUAAUAAUAUAAAAACAAGGAGAAAGAUUUGGUGAAACUAGACAGCUCAUUAAAGCACAACGUAUGGUCUGGGUGGUAACAAGGUCUCCACAUGGGACCAGAGUUGAAAUGCCACAACUCAGAUCCCCACCCCCAUAAAUCUGAAGAGGGGCAUUUGAGGUGGAUCUCAAUUGGGACGAGGCAGUUCUUAAGUGAGCCUGGUCCCAGGCCAUUUAGAAUUUUCAACUUUAAAAGCAGCAGCUUGACUUGGUCUCAGAAUGAAGCCAGUGCAGCUGUUUCAAAACUGGCGAGAGAUGCAUUCCAUCCGUUUGGCCCCACUGAGUAAUCUUAACUGCUAUAUUCUAUGCUAACUGCAGCUUUUGCACUCUCUUCAAGGGCAGUCCCAUGUAAAAUGGGUUGCAGUAAUUUGAGAUGUACCAGAGCAUGAAUGAUUGUGGCCAGGCUAUUCCAGCUGAAGAGAAGGUGCACCAGCAUUAGCUGAAAGGAACCUCUCCAUGCCACUUGAGCUACUUGAAAAAGGAC